UUGUUUUGUUGUAGUGCUUGGGCUUGAAUCCAGGGCCUCAUGAAUGCUAAGCAUAUGCUGUCCUGCUGAGCAACAUCCCCAGUUCCUAAUCUUCAUAUGACUAAUUUGCUGGUGCCUGAAACAGGGCCCCUUCUGGACAUGUUGAUGGCUUGCCACCUGGAGCAGGCAGGGACCAACCCCUACUGGUAAGCUAUGGGAAAUUCCCU
rnacentral:lncRNA from 1 species